AACCUAAUGGCGAAGCUGGCAUCGCAUCCACUCGCACUACGAAGGAACUCCUGGAUCUGUGGAAGUCCCUCGUUCGAAUCGAGGUUAGGUUG